rnacentral:rRNA from 1 species
AACAAACGCUGGCGGCGUGCCUAAUACAUGCAAGUCGAACGGGGAAAGCUUUCGGGUGAGUACUAGUGGCGCACGGGUGAGUAACGCGUGGAUAAUCUGCCCUCGAAUGGGGAAUAACUAGUCGAAAGAUUAGCUAAUACCGCAUAAGACCACGACUACUGAGGUAGUUGGGGUCAAAGGAGCAAUUCGUUUGAGGAUGAGUCCGCGUAAGAUUAGCUAGUUGGUGAGGUAAUGGCUCACCAAGGCGAUGAUCUUUAACUGGUCUGAGAGGAUGAUCAGUCACACUGGAACCGAGACACGGUCCAGACUCCUACGGGAGGCAGCAGUAGGGAAUAUUGGACAAUGGGGGCAACCCUGAUCCAGCGACGCCGCGUGAGCGAUGAAGGCCUUCGGGUCGUAAAGCUCUGUUGUAAGGGAAAAAGUUCUGAUUGUACCUUACGAGAAAGGAUCGGCUAACUUCGUGCCAGCAGCCGCGGUAA